UUCAAAGAACAAGUGCAACUAAGCAGAGUGUGAAGAUGAGCAUUGAGCCUGCUCUUCCAUUUGCAGAGAGGAGUUGUCCAGCUGAUUCUGGUUGUGCCUAAUUGAUCAUUGUUGCUUCUUUUUCAGAUGUCAAGAACAAAGUGGAACUAAUCAUUUCUAUCGAGAGGUAAGGAACGCACCUCCUCACAGCACGGGGACAGGACUUAAAGGCUCUGUUUCUAUUUUCAGGUGAAAGGAAGGUCUUACCAUUCAAGGGAGGAUGAUAAGAGGCUGCUGCAUUUAAGGAAAAAAGACAGGUAAGGAUACCUGGCCAGAGGAAAGAAAAGCAUCUUUUACUUUUACUUCUAGUUCAGAAAAAGGCAAGCAGCCAUUUAUAUUCUUCAGGUUUUACCCUGUGUAGCUGGCUGUACCGCUAAGAAUCAAAGCCUUGCGGUGGAACAUGACUGACAAGUAGGUGAGCACUGAAAGGUCUCUAGAAGCCUAAUGAUCUGGAUGCUAAGGAACCUUCUCCAUUGAUGACUCUUCAUAGCUGCUAAUGAGUAAUAAUAAAUAAUUCUGUCAAACAAUGAUUGCAGGUUUUGCUCUGAGAUAUGAACAGACCAGGUGGCCAUUCCUACCAGGGAGAAGUGAGGCUAAGUGGCGUGGCUAUCCCGGGCAAGGACUUGAGAAAUACAAGUCUCCAAACAUCCAUGUGUACAUGAAGUGGUGUGGAUUUUGCUUUCAGGGAGAAAAACUGUGGAUGACCUUACUUGUCAUGGGGAAAGUGUCAAAAGCAGACUCAGGACAAAUCUGAAUCAAGUCAGCAGACCAUCAGACAUGGAGAUGAGAGAAAUGCAGCCGAUUUGAACGCUGAGGGUGUGAAAACUUCAGGAAGUUGCUAGAAGAUCUGGGAUAUCUACAGAAAGGAAACAAGCAAAAUUCAUCACUGCUACCAAGUGGAGGAGAGUUACAUAUGCUCAGGAUCUGAGUAAAAAGGAACAGGGAUGGAGCUGAACAGAUCCAACACCUUAAAGGACGAUUGGAUCUCAAAAUAUGAAAGACCCUUCAUUCAAUAAAGCAACAGGAUUGGCUCUGAGGAGCGAUGAAGGAAACAGGCAGCGUGGACAGUAUUCAAGACACAAUGUUUAAAAGUUGCUGCUGGGAUGGAAGGAAAGAAGAAAGCCCUGGAGACGGGUUAGUGCUGGGACACAGGCACUAUCCUGGAGGGGCCUGGGACAGGGUAUGUAACCAUAGCGACCAGUGGGUCCUUUCCCCACUGUGGUCCUGGCUCGCAUGCACAGGGUGAAACCGAUCGCCAUGUUUGGGGUCAGGAAGGAAUUUUCCUCCAGGGCAGAUUGGCCAGAGACCCUGGAGGUUUUUCGCCUUCCUCUGGGGCAUCGAGCAGGGACCAGCCCUUAGGGCCAUUUAGGAACAGACAUAAUAAAAUCAAUCAGAGAGAA